AGGAAAAUGCAAAAUGAGACUCGGCUAGAAAUUGCAUCUAUAUAUCACACAGAUGCCAUGUGGGGAUGCAUCAAUGACUUCACCAUUGUCAUCAUUGAGUGAUGAGCCCCAACCAAAAGAGAAUUUAUUGUCUAUACUCAAAGCCCCAGGUUCUAUGGGUGAGUGUCCAGAAGUGUCCUUAAAGAAUGUAGGCAAUUGGAGUUAGUUUUUUUUACUAUCGUAGUGAAUUUCAUUAGUUAUAGGAAGCUCUUUUUUAAUGCCUCUAUUUUUCUCUUUCACAUCCUAAAAGAAUUACUUUCUUGCUUCCUAUUUCUUGGGUUAGAUUAGAGGACUACUGGAAAGCCAGUCUCCUUUGCCUUGGAAGUACCUACUUUCAUGCCUCCUAUUUCUUGCAUUUGUUGCACACGGUCACAUAAAUGCUACCACAAAUAUUAAAAAAUGGCAUGUUUCACGCAUAGUUUUGCAAACACAUUGAUGAUGGCUCCUUGAAGAACUCAUUAUCAAGUUAUUCUAUCUGGUUCUGGAUGUUCUCAUGGAUACUAAUCAUUGCAUUUCUGUUCAACAGGAUGAUGAUUUAGAUGAAUCGAUUUACACUCCAGGUUUGUUGGUUUGAGCUAAUCCCUUUUUUUCUUUUACUUUUCUCCAUAAUCUUUCAAAAAGGGACAAAAUCUUCAUAAUUCAUUAAUUCUUUUUUCCAUAUAGAUUGCUGAUGUGUUGUUGGGAGCACGUCAUCUCAAAAUUACAAAAGAUUAUAGUUCUAUUUUUUUUCCUCCAUUGAAUCUGUUUUGGAGUAGUUCCAUACUUUGUUUCAUUUAUUUUUCAAAAAUAAAAUAUAAAAAUUACAGUUCAUCUAAAAAAAUCAUGGUUCACAGUUCCAUGUUCAGUUUCUUGGAAUAGAACAGUUCCAUAGUUCAUAAUAGUCACUUCUUGGGCUGCAAUGGCCAAGAAGUGAAAAUAGAAAACUAUGGAUUCAGUUAUCCAAACCAGUAAUAUGAUGGGUUUCACUAUUGAUGACCCACACACCAAAGUUCCUCAAGAUUGAAAUAUUCCAACCCUUCAAUACCCAGCCAAGAAGUACACAUUUAAGAAAGAAAAAAUAGUGAUAGUUCGAACUCAAUAGAAAACUGGCCAAAUAUCAAUGACUAGGAUCUAGCAAUCUUGGUUUUUUUUUUUUGGGUUGCAUCACAUCAACAAUUUGAACCAUACUUCUUUGUCAUUUUACGUCUACUUAUUUAUAACAUGCGGGCUUUUCUCUAGAUUGGUCAUAACAUGUUCUAGUAGAGGAACCUACUUCAAAUGAUGUUGGUUCUUCAGUUCUCAUUUUUGGUCCCUUAGUUAUUGGACCUUAUCAUAAAAGCUACCUUCUCCUAUGGUCCAUCUGCUUUGUAUUUUUUCCGAUCAAAGGAGGAAAAGGAGAUCCUUCUACUAGAAACUGCAGAUCGUACCGUAGAUUUCACUGGAGCAAAGCUGUAAAAUAUAUUUUAGUUACUUCAUUAUUAGUUUCAUGAAUAUUGAAAGACGAGGCAGUGGACUGAUUGACGGUUGGAUCUCAUGAAAGUUUCACACACAAGACGCUUGUCUAGCUAUACUUAGUUCAUUUCACAAAUAGUUUAUUUAAAUUCUACUUAGAUAAUAUGAUAGUGCAACUUGUACUGAUUUAUGAAUUAUAAGGGAGAAGCAUACCUAACAGGGUGGGUGUAAUUUUAUUUAUUUAUUUUGAAAAUGAUUUACUUUUAUGUGAAAAAAAGGUUCGAUGGUGUGUAUUAGUGAUGAUCGUUAUUGUUUAUUCUCAUGUAUUAGUGAUGAUUGCUAUUGUUUAUUCUCUUUGAGCCGCAUGUUGGCUCAAGUACUCUUUCAAACCAGCUCUUGCAGGUCUUUCUCAUGCUUUUCAAUGUACUGUCGAAACGGUAUAUGGCCUAUAUCAGGUUCGUUUGUUUAAUCACAUUUGAUGGGUGGUUGCUCUUCUAUAUUUGAGUUCUUUAUAUGGGGAGUUGGGAGUUCUCCCAAGGUUCUACUUGUGAAGGUAUUUUUGGGUGUUGGUUAUUUUUCUGUCAAUUGAUUGGGUUUGCAUGUAUUCUCUGUUUUACCAUGAAAGCAUUAGUGAAGUAAUGAAGAUUCAAGUAUACAGAUGGAAAUUUAAUAAGGGAAAGUUUGUGGUUGGUCUUUGGUUCAUGUUUCUGUCACAUACUGCAUCACUUAAUUAUUUUCCAAUUUGUCAUAACUAUGGCAUAGAUGACAGGAUUUAACCAUGACAUGAUUGUAAUUCUUCUCAUUAUUUCCAGCUUUGAUCAUGACUGGAAGAAAAUAAAGGCAUUUGUCAGCUCAAAGACAGUUAUUCAGGUUCAAAACUGGCAUGGGUCAAACUUAUAGUUACCUCUUCUUUGGUAGAUAUACAGAAAUCUUUGAAGAAGUUGUUGUCACAUGGGACUAUUUUAGUAGGCCACAGUUUAUAUAAUGAUCUACAAGGUAUGCAAAGGACCUUGUCACUCUUAAAGAAGCUCUAUUUAAUCAAUUUGUUGAAAAUUCUGAUUAGUAGUUUUUUUUUUUUUAUUAUUAGUAGUUCUCUUUCAUCCAUCCUAAUUGACUUUCUUACGUUGUUGUGGAGUGUUCUUUUCUAAUGCUUCAUGCUUGUGGUUUGUUCUCCUCUUUUACUUAUUUUAAUUUGUUUUUAAUAAUUUCUAUAGUUGCAUGUACUACAGAAUUCAGAACUAUUAGUGAUCCUUCAAAGUAUGAUAGUUGAGGAGUAACUUUUGUUUCCUGAUUUGAUACUCAAAGAAAAGAAAUCUUAGCAUCUGAUGAUUGUUUACCCUGCAUGCAUUUGUUGGUAUCAGAUCCAUUGCUCAUGGAAACAUCUCAAGUAGUUAGGGUGGCCUAGGCCAUGCAACAUCAAUAUCUCAUGUAGACCCACCCAACCCAACAAGCCCAGCCAAUCAGUUCCACCCAAAUAUUCAAGGGUGUGUCAUUUGGAAAAUACAGCAAUCACAUUCUGCAUUGGGUGGAAUGGACUUCCUCUGUUGAACCAACCUGCAAUGGCAGAGUGAGCUAGUUUCUCUAUUCAAAGGAUCAGGAACAAUGGUAAUUGAGGCAAGUGGGCAUUCUACUCACUGGGAAUUUAUUUACAUCUAAAUUCAUCUCUACUGAGCAUUUGGGGUUGCACAGAAUUUAAUAUACAACUAGCAGGCAAUCAUUUUCCGCUUUAAAGAAUUUUGCCUUUGAUUGGCUUUGUGAGGUAAUUUUAAGACCUGU